rnacentral:rRNA from 1 species
UUCCGGUUGAUCCUGCCGGAGGCCACUGCUAUUGGGAUCCGACUAAGCCAUGCGAGUCGAGAGGGUUCGGCCCUCGGCAGACUGCUCAGUAACACGUGGAUAACCUAACCUUAGGUGGAAGAUAACCUCGGGAAACUGAGAAUAAUAUUCCAUAGAUCUAGGAUGCUGGAAUGCAUCUAGAUUGAAAGUUCCGACGCCUAAGGAUGGGUCUGCGGACUAUCAGGUUGUAGUCAGGGUAAAGACCUGACUAGCCUACGACGGAUAUGGGUUGUGAGAGCAAUAGCCCAGAGACGAUAUCUGAGACACGAUAUCGGGCCCUACGGGGCGCAGCAGGCGCGAAAUCUUCACAAUGUGCGAAAGCACGAUGAGGGGACCCCAAGUGCUGGCACGUAAGUGUCAGCUGUUUCUUAGUCUAAAAAACUGAGAGAGUAAGGGCUGGGUAAGACGGGUGCCAGCCGCCGCGGUAAUACCUGCAGCUCAAGUGGUGGCCGCUAUUAUUGGGCCUAAAACGUCCGUAGCCUGUUUAGUAAAUGCUUGGGUAAAUUGUGUAGCUUAACUAUACGAAUACCGGGUAGACUGCUAAACUUGGGACCGGGAGAGGCUAGAGGUACUCCUGGGGUAGAGGUGAAAUUCUGUAAUCCUAGGGGGACCACCAGUGGCGAAGGCGUCUAGCUAGAACGGGUCUGACGGUGAGGGACGAAGCCCUGGGGCGCAAACCGGAUUAGAUACCCGGGUAGUCCAGGGUGUAAACGCUGCUUGCUUGAUGUUAGUUGGGCUCCGAGCCCAACUAGUGUCGGAGAGAAGUUGUUAAGCAAGCUGCCUGGGAAGUACGGUCGCAAGACUGAAACUUAAAGGAAUUGGCGGGGGAGCACAGCAACGGGUGGAGCGUGCGGUUUAAUUGGAUUCAACGCCCGGAA